GUUAUCAAUUCUGGAGCAACAUUUGAAAAGGGCCUAAGAGCAAAAUGUAAACAUUUUUUUUUCUCUCAGAAACGCACAUAAAAUACGAUAUUCUUUCCAUUGAAGUACAAAAAUCCCCUCAUAAAUAUUGAAAAGUCAAUAAUUAUUGAAGGGCUUAUGUCAAAGGUUGAACUUAAUAAACUCAAAUGUACUUGAGCCCUGACGGGCUUAAGUCAACAGCAAAGUUAUAUUUCGUAAAAGUGUGUUGAGCCCUUUUCAUUUCAUUAGCUAGUUUGAUGCUUAAAGCUGUCAUAAUCGCAAAAUCGAGCGCAGAAGUAAACAAAUUUUGCUGCAAUCGCAUUGUUUUCUAAAAGUGCAACUUUAAACAAGUUUUCUCCACUGCUUUCGAAAAUCAGAAAUUCGGAAAAUGGAUGUUUUGCUACAAGCUGCAGAACUUGCCUUCAGUCAAUAUAGCGAAGGUUCUGCUGCUGUUCGUGCUAUACCAACUGUGGCAUGUUAUGAGGAAAUAGCAGCCGACCUAAGCUUUUCUGGCAUUUCAACCAAUGAAUUAUCUGAAACAUUGAUCCAGAAUGACCAGUCGAUACUGGAUUCCCGAGCCAACAUUUCCUCGGCUUCACCUCCGGAAAUGAAUAAAUCGCUUUCAGUUUCAUUCCGCAACGUUUUCUCAUCUACACCAAGGUUGACUCCACUACCACGACAGCCAUUAUUUGCUCUGGACCUUUCGAUCAACGAGGAAGAAGAAUCUCCACUGGAUUUAUCGAUUAAUUCGAUCGAUAAUCAUCACGACGCUCCACUUAACCUGAUAGCGAAACCGAUCCACUCCGUGGAGUGCUCAGCUAAAAGCGUGUUUCAAAUUUACUCCCAAGAAGCCUCCAAAUUCACCACGUCGAUUGUCCGAAGAAAAUCACGUUUUACCAGAUGAAUCGGAGAAUGCCCGUUCCGAAAACAUUUUGGUCGAUGACGUUGAGUCAAAGGGUCGAUUCUCAGAUCAAUUGCAGCAAAAGCCAUUGGAUGAUAGCUCAUCUGAAGCACGGCAAGGCGGAAGGCAGCAUGAAGCUGCCAGUGCUGAUCAUUUCGGAAAUAAUGAUCUCGAUGAAAAUGACAGCAAUAGUGACGACGACGACUACCAGGAUGGAGAAAUCGAACUACUGAAUGAUUUUUCCAUAAUGGAAUAUUUCGAACCAUACCGUAUCGACUCUAUGAAUGCCGAUUCUGAACCCGAAGACUUAAUAGAUAACCCGAUUGCUGAUUCGGAUUGUGAGAACGUCGCACCGGGGAAAGAUUUGGGAUUCAAGGAACUUAAUGACAGCAAUAUUACAAAAAAGAGGAGAUGUACUGCAAGUUAUAAUAAUGUGAAUAAUAAGAAGCUCAAGGCAAAAGGAGAAGCGUACAUUCGACCCAAUGGAAAGGAGGUUGCCGCUCGAAGUGUCAAGCCGGCUUGCUUUUGUUCAAAGCGAAAAUGUCACACGAAAGUGAACAACGAAAUACGACAGAAACUCUUACUCAACUUUUUGAAACUGACACCAUCCGGACAGAAUCAGUUCCUGUCUAACCACGUGACGAUCAAUCCGGUCAAAUAUCAUCGAGUAAGUAGUAAUUUCCUAUCAUGAGUUCGUAACAACAGGGCCGGUAGCGAGUCAUUUUUUAAUGACUUAUGAACUAAUCACUAAAAAGACACUAAAUACUAAAUAUCACUAAAACGGCACUAAAUAUGCGACAAAAUAUCACUAAAGUAUUUUUGCACAUACAUAAAAACGAUAAUUUCUAAAGCAAGAUUUACACGAUAUUGAACGAGGCUGCAAUGAAGAUAAGGAUAAGAUCCUCCACUAUCUCUAGGUGUGUUUUUGCGUGAUUUAGAUAAGCUUUUCAAAUUAAAACGGCAAGCCAUUAAUGUUACAUAUAUUUUAAUAUGUCAAAGACAAAGUUGUGCGCGAUCCGGUUUGGUGGAGGUGCGAAAAUAUUUUAUGUUGAACUUUUUAGUUACUAAAAUCACUUUUAUUUUGAUUUUGAUGUUAGACCGCUACUAGUCCUGUAAAAAAAGUUAAAAAAUAUAUUUAUAAAAAUCGCCCAUCUUCAGUUACAGUUGGGAUCGAAA
rnacentral:lncRNA from 1 species